rnacentral:sRNA from 1 species
GCCUAGCCCUGAUCGAAGCGGCAUCCUUUUUCUAGUCUCGUCUUUUUUGGACGAGACUAGAAAAAGAUAGAGCGGAGAGCAGGAAAAAGC